rnacentral:rRNA from 1 species
UACGGAGGGCGCAAGCGUUAUCCGGAAUCACUGGGUUUAAAGGGUGCGUAGGCGGCUAGAUAAGUCAGAGGUGAAAGCUUGCAGCUUAACUGCGAAAUUGCCUUUGAUACUGUAUAGCUUGAAAGGAGCUGAGGUCAGCAGAAUGUGGCAUGUAGCGGUGAAAUGCAUAGAUAUGCCAUAGAAUACCAAUUGCGAAGGCAGCUGGCUGGGCUUACUUUGACGCUGAGGCACGAAAUCGUGGGGAUCGAACAGG